AAAAAGUGCCUUUCACCACCCGCCAUGAUUCUGAGGCUUCCCCAGCCAUGUGGAACUGUAAGUCCAAUUAAACCUCUUUUUGUUCCCAGUUUUGGGUAUAUCUUCUUCAGCAGCGUGAAAAUGGAGUGCACACACACGUCAGCACUGUGGGCGCACACACCUGCACUCACAUGUUCAUCAGGACCCAUGGGCACACGUGCACACACGUCAGCACCAUGGGCGCACACACCUGCACUCAUGCACUCAUCAGGACCCACGGACAUACGUGCACACAUGUCAGCACCGUGAGUGCACACACCUGUACUCACGCACUCAGGACCCACGGACAUACGUGCACACACGUCAGCACCGUGGGCGCACACACCUGCACUCACACACUCAUCAGGUCCCACGGACAUACGUGCACACACGUCAGCACCGUGAGUGCACACACCUGCACUCAUGCACUCAACAACACCCACGGACACAGUGCACACACACGUCAGCACCGUGGGUGCACACACCGGCACUCACGCACUCAGGACCCACGGACAUACGUGCACACACACAUCAGCACCGUGGGCGCACACACCUGCACUCACGCACUCAUCAGGUCCCACGGACAUACGUGCACACACACGUCAGCACCGUGAGUGCACACACCUGCACUCACGCACUCAACAACACCCACGGACAUGUGCACACACACGUCAGCACCGUGGGCGCACACACCGGCACUCACGCACUCAGGACCCACGGACAUACGUGCACACACACAUCAGCACCGUGGGCGCACACACCGGCACUCACGCACUCAGGACCCACGGACAUACGUGCACACACAUCAGCACCGUGGGCGCACACACCUGCACUCAACGCAUUCAUCAGGACCCACAGGCAGAUGUACACACAUGCACCAGCACCCGUGAGACACGUGCACGCACACAUCAGCACCCAUGGGCAUACAUGGAUGCACACAUCAGUACCAUGGGCACACACACA
rnacentral:lncRNA from 1 species